rnacentral:ribozyme from 1 species
UGCCCAGCAACUCCUAUCUCUACCUCCUCGUGGUACUGGCCGGGGUACGAGUAACCUUGGGGAAGAUCGGGUAACCUACCCCGGUAGGAACUUUGGUCGUAUGCUGACAGGGAAGG